rnacentral:sRNA from 1 species
UAUGAAAACAUAAUAAUUUAUUUUUUCCAUUCUAUAUUGUUAAUACAACGAUCAUUGAAACAACGAAUGGGUCCAAAUAUUCAACAUGAAGAUAAACAUGUAUAGAAAACUUUUUAAAAUUAAGAUAUACUCAAUUAAAUUGUUCAGAUAUUUAUAUUUUGUAUUUUACUCCGUAAAACACAUUUAAUCAGAGUACUGAGGUGAGCGAUGUGGCCCUUGGGCCUCUUGCUUUAUCAUUUUUAAUUUUACAAUAACGAUCAACCGGUAUGUAUUUGUCUGAUUUUUUAAAAUGAUUUAGCCAUUCAGUUGUAUAGACUUCAAUUUUAGUAGUAAGGUUAAUUAUUAAACAGGUACCUGUAUAUACACGCAAAGAUUUAUGUUUAAACGUUAAAAACACAUUUUUUGAUCUCAUCAUUAUUUAAUCAUUCAUGAGAUUGAUUGUUCAUAGCAAUGGAAUAAUCAUAUGAAGAUCCUGAUCAGUAGUAAUAAAAUGUUCACAC